rnacentral:misc_RNA from 1 species
UACAGAGGGUGCGAGCGUUAAUCGGAUUUACUGGGCGUAAAGCGUGCGUAGGCGGCUUUUUAAGUCGGAUGUGAAAUCCCCGAGCUUAACUUGGGAAUUGCAUUCGAUACUGGUCGGCUAGAGUAUGAGAGAGGGAGGUAGAAUUCCACGUGUAGCGGUGAAAUGCGUAGAUAUGUGGAGGAAUACCGGUGGCGAAGGCGACUCUUUGGCCUAUAACUGACGCUGAGGCGCGAAAGCGUGGGGAGCAAACAGG